AGCGCAGCAGAGGUGGCCAUGCAUAAAAGAUGACACAUGAUGGCGGGGCUCGGGGUGCCAACACAGUGAAACUCUUGGAUGCAAGGCACAGAGAUAUUGACUAGGAGGAGACAGCUACCACUACUACUGCUGCUUUGAUUUGAAAGGUAUUAUUGGGACAGAAGCAGCUGGUUCCAGAACCCCCCUGGCCUCCUGUGCACACACCGAACACCAGGGAACCUGCUCUCCGACCAGCCCCAGCCACCUGAGCCCAAUAACAGGAGCCUGACUUCUUCCUAGGCUACUUAACAGACAAAAGCAGGGGCUCCAGGGGCUGGUCCUGCAUCUCUUUAUUAAAAAAGAAAAGCAAUACCCAAAGGAAAGCAUUUCCUUCUCCCCUGGAGAAUCUUCCCGGCUUCAUCCCCCACAUGCCUCCUGCCCACCUUCCAUAGACCCAGUUUACACCAGAUGGGCAGCACAGGGGUCACUCAAGGAGUGGCUUGAAGGGGUCAAUCAGAAAGGGCCAUCACUGGCCCUGCUCAGGCCUGCAGCACUGGCCUGCAGCUAGCCAGGGCUCUGAAUGGAUGCUGCCCCCAUCAAGUACCUACAGUUUUGGACCUCUCUGACUGACCUUAGGAGAGAACGGAUAGCACAUGACAUUAGGUAAUAUGGUUUGAGGUUCCUAGUGGCAAGAUACUAAAAUAAAAAAAUCACCAUGCUUGAGCCCCUCUCCCUAAAAUGUGAAUAACAAUAGACAACAGGCAAGUACAGGAAUGGAAUGAGAUUUUUUUUUUUUUUUAAAGCUUUCAGAACAACUUCGGAUGCCAUAGCACAUGAAAUGUAAAUGUUUGUUAAAUAAAUAAAAUGCAAAGGCCAUACAUUAAA